rnacentral:rRNA from 1 species
UCUGACACAGGUGCUGCAUGGCUGUCGUCAGCUCCGUGUCGUGAGAUGUUGGGUUAAGUCCGUAACGAGCGCAACCCUUGUCCUUAGUUACCAGCACGUUAUGGUGGGCACUCUAAGGAGACUGCCGGUGACAAACCGGAGGAAGGUGGGGAUGACGUCAAGUCAUCAUGGCCCUUACGGCCUGGGCUACACACGUGCUACAAUGGUCGGUACAAAGGGUUGCCAAGCCGCGAGGUGGAGCUAAUCCCAUAAAACCGAUCGUAGUCCGGAUCGCAGUCUGCAACUCGACUGCGUGAAGUCGGAAUCGCUAGUAAUCGUGAAUCAGAAUGUCACGGUGAAUACGUUCCCGGGCCUU